rnacentral:rRNA from 1 species
GACGAACCACACAAACGUUAUUCGGAAUUACUGGGCUUAAAGGGUGCGUAGGCUGCGCGGAAAGUUGGGUGUGAAAUCCCUCGGCUCAACCGAGGAACUGCGCCCAAAACUACCGUGCUUGAGGAAGAUAGAGGUGAGCGGAACUUACGGUGGAGCGGUGAAAUGCGUUGAUAUCGGGAGGAACACCUGUGGCGAAAGCGGCGCACUGGACCACUACUGACGCUGAGGCGCGAAAGCUAGGGGAGCAAACAGG